rnacentral:lncRNA from 1 species
GAAGAAUCUCGUAGGCUGACGUGGAUGCACGAAAUCCUCAUUUGUAUCUUGCCAGCAUGGCACCGAACAGCGCGAGGCUGCGGACACCGCCAUCAAGCGCACCCUCGUCGCCGGCUCUCUCGUAGUCCUCGUCAUUGCGGGGCUAUUCUCCUACAUAAUUCUCAGCACACUCUAGUCUUCGGAAAGCAGCGAACGGACGGAGGCUACCUCUGCCGACGAGCGGCGGUAAAGACGUGGCGACACGACGACUCAAAAAGCGGACAUCUUGUGUGACCAAUGAGG